rnacentral:rRNA from 1 species
AACGCGAAGAACCUUACCAGCUCUUGACAUGGGAAGUAUGGGCAGCGGAGACGUUGCUCUUCAGUUCGGCUGGCUUCCACACAGGUGCUGCAUGGCUGUCGUCAGCUCGUGUCGUGAGAUGUUGGGUUAAGUCCCGCAACGAGCGCAACCCUCAUCUUCAGUUGCCAUCAGGUUAAGCUGGGCACUCUAGCGAAACCGCCUCGGAUAACGGGGAGGAAGGUGGGGAUGACGUCAAGUCCUCAUGGCCUUUAUGUCCAGGGCUACACACGUGCUACAAUGGCCGGUACAAACCGUCGCAAACUCGCGAGAGGGAGCUAAUCGGAAAAAGCCGGCCUCAGUUCGGAUUGGAGUCUGCAACUCGACUCCAUGAAGCUGGAAUCGCUAGUAAUCGCGGAUCAGCACGCCGCGGUGAAUACGUUCCCGGGCCUUGUACACACCGGAGUA